rnacentral:lncRNA from 1 species
GUCUUUAUUCACAAAUCAAACUGGCAGUCCUCCUGGACCACAGGGAAGCACUCAUUCAGUCUUCCAGGGCACACAAAGAGUUCCAGAGCUGGUCCCGCGCACUCUCCACUCAGGCAGGGCAACAUGGAGACCAGCGGAAAACUCUCCGAGGCUGGUAGACAGGUGCUCUGUCCUUAAAUAGGUGGCCUGAUGUAGAUUGCUGACAGGUGUGCCUGCCUGCAGCGCCAGCUGCAGCAAAUCAUCAGCUCCUCCAAGCCUCCUGCUGGAAAAAAAACAAACAGACGACCCAGAACCCAGGACCUCAAAAGGAGCAACUUUUCACAGUUUGGGCAGAUCACAAGAAAAUCUCCUGUAUCCAGUCGGUAGAGGCUGAAUCCUCACCAGGCCGGGUGGGCUUAAUUUUUCUCAAGACCACCUCCAGCUGGCUUCACGCACCAUCGUUCCCUCCGAGUGAGUGGUGGGCACCCUCACUUGGCAACUGGAGAAGACUGUUUUAGACCGUUUCAAAGCUGCCCACUUCCCUGCCCUACAUAAAUUUCACUUUGGAAACAGCCCAGCUUCUGCUCACCUACAUCUUGCUGAUCCACGGUACUCCCUCAGACCUGAUUUCUGACUGUGACCCCAAGUCACUAUGCAAGUUUGGAAGGUUUUGGUUGUUUGUCAACCCAUCCUCAGUCAAAUAGGCAGGCCAAGAGACUGAAACAGUGUUGCCACCUCCAAGCCAACAUCCUGGAGUACAUACCUAACUUGGGUGGAGUACGCACACAGCUCCUUCAUUUGCUCAGCUACUGGGAUGUUGCUAUUUGAAGCUUCUGUGGGAUACCAGCCUCCUCUGAUUAAAAUCCAGAAAUGGGAAAUUGCGGACCCCUUGGUUCAGGAGUGCCUCCAUGGGGCUUGGGAGGCCUGGAAGAAGACACAGGAGGCCUCUAACCAGCGUUCUGCCACCCAUCAUCAUAUUCCAGCUCCAAGCUACCAACCAGCUUAAACUGGUCUCAUUCUGUCCAUUUGUCUCUUCAUCCAAACCCCCACCCUGCUUUCAC